CGGUAACAGGCCUUCGGGCGCUGACGAGUGGCGAACGGGUGAGUAAUGCAUCGGAACGUGCCCGGUCGUGGGGGAUAACACUUCGAAAGAAGUGCUAAUACCGCAUACGAUCUAUGGAUGAAAGCGGGGGACCGUAAGGCCUCGCGCGAUCGGAGCGGCCGAUGUCAGAUUAGGUAGUUGGUGGGGUAAAGGCUCACCAAGCCAACGAUCUGUAGCUGGUCUGAGAGGACGACCAGCCACACUGGGACUGAGACACGGCCCAGACUCCUACGGGAGGCAGCAGUGGGGAAUUUUGGACAAUGGGCGCAAGCCUGAUCCAGCAAUGCCGCGUGCAGGAAGAAGGCCUUCGGGUUGUAAACUGCUUUUGUACGGAACGAAACGGUCCGGGUUAAUACCCUGGGCUAAUGACGGUACCGUAAGAAUAAGGCACCGGCUAACUACGUGCCAGCAC
rnacentral:rRNA from 1 species